AGCGGCGGACGGGUGAGUAAUGCAUAGGAAUCUGCCCGAUAGUGGGGGAUAACCUGGGGAAACCCAGGCUAAUACCGCAUACGUCCUACGGGAGAAAGGGGGCUCCGGCUCCCGCUAUUGGAUGAGCCUAUGUCGGAUUAGCUAGUUGGUAAGGUAAUGGCUUACCAAGGCAACGAUCCGUAGCUGGUCUGAGAGGAUGAUCAGCCACAUCGGGACUGAGACACGGCCCGAACUCCUACGGGAGGCAGCAGUGGGGAAUAUUGGACAAUGGGGGCAACCCUGAUCCAGCCAUGCCGCGUGUGUGAAGAAGGCCCUCGGGUUGUAAAGCACUUUCAGCGAGGAAGAACGCCUAUCGGUUAAUACCCGGUAGGAAAGACAUCACUCGCAGAAGAAGCACCGGCUAACUCCGUGCCAGCAGCCGCGGUAAUACGGAGGGUGCAAGCGUUAAUCGGAAUUACUGGGCGUAAAGCGCGCGUAGGUGGCUUGAUAAGCCGGUUGUGAAAGCCCCGGGCUCAACCUGGGAACGGCAU
rnacentral:rRNA from 1 species